rnacentral:rRNA from 1 species
AAAUUGAAGAGUUUGAUCAUGGCUCAGAUUGAACGCUGGCGGCAGGCCUAACACAUGCAAGUCGAACGGUAACAGGAAGCAGCUUGCUGCUUYGCUGACGAGUGGCGGACGGGUGAGUAAUGUCUGGGAAACUGCCUGAUGGAGGGGGAUAACUACUGGAAACGGUGGCUAAUACCGCAUAACGUCGCAAGACCAAAGAGGGGGACCUUCGGGCCUCUUGCCAUCAGAUGUGCCCAGAUGGGAUUAGCUAGUUGGUGAGGUAACGGCUCACCAAGGCGACGAUCCCUAGCUGGUCUGAGAGGAUGACCAGCCACACUGGAACUGAGACACGGUCCAGACUCCUACGGGAGGCAGCAGUGGGGAAUAUUGCACAAUGGGCGCAAGCCUGAUGCAGCCAUGCCGCGUGUAUGAAGAAGGCCUUCGGGUUGUAAAGUACUUUCAGCGGGGAGGAAGGUGUUGUGGUUAAUAACCRCAGCAAUUGACGUUACCCGCAGAAGAA